rnacentral:rRNA from 1 species
ACGGGAGGCAGCAGUGAGGAAUAUUGGUCAAUGGGCGAGAGCCUGAACCAGCCAAGUAGCGUGCAGGAUGACGGCCCUACGGGUUGUAAACUGCUUUUGCGCAGGGAUAAAAAAGCCCACGUGUGGGCUCUUGCAGGUACUGCGUGAAUAAGGACCGGCUAAUUCCGUGCCAGCAGCCGCGGUAAUACGGAAGGUCCGAGCGUUAUCCGGAUUUAUUGGGUUUAAAGGGUGCGCAGGCGGAGAUGCAAGCCAGCCGUAAAAUCGUGGGGCUCAACCCCAUUCAGCGGUUGGAACUUCAUCCCUUGAUUGCGGCAGAGGGAGGUGGAACUCGUGGUGUAGCGGUGAAAUGCAUAGAUAUGACGAAGAACACCGAUUGCGUAGGCAGCUGACCAGGCCGUAAAUGACGCUCAUGCACGAAAGUGCGGGGAUCGAACAGGAUUAGAUACCCUGGUA